GAGCCAGCUGCAUAUAUAUAUACGCAUGUACCUCGUCAACUCAAGGCUCGAUAUGUGCAUUUAACGUCGACGGAGAACCACCUGUGUACACCGAAGGACUGAAGAAUUAAAUUAUUCUAAAUAAUUUUAAGCAGGCAGCAAAACAUGGACGACUUGUACCCAGAUUAUGAUGAUACAUAUGGUGGUAAGCCACUCAAACUUCGCCCACUGCCAUCACUUGAGCAAAACGGCACAGCCGAAUACAAAUCCAAGAAGAGGAAGAAGAAACGCAAGGAUAAAAAAUCACCCAGCAAGGCCAACUCUGCAACCCAGACGAUCAUUCCUAAGAGGAUAGACUAUAUCCUGGUGUAUCCCAAGGAAGAUGAAAAUGAUUUUAAGGAUAAUGAUGACAUUGAGGACUUUAAGAACAGGAUGGAACUGAGGAGGAGGUUCCAUAGAGCAGCCAGGGAGAAGGAAGGGCUGGAGAUCAGAGAGAGGGACAUGGGAGAGAAGAUUUAUGUCUUGAUCCAUUGUCCAUUCAAGAGAAUGUGCCUCGAGGCAGAGGAGGUUAAACUGGAAAUGCCUCUGGAAGGGGCAGCUAUUCCCCCAAAGCAAGCGAAUGGAUACUUAGAUCAACUCAAGUCUCUCUUUGUAACAGAUGAUGAAGUUGACUUUGUGAGUGCACCCUUCAUUGUUCAGAAGAGGGCGGUAUUCAAGGGAAUUGACCAACCAGAUACAUUCUUCUCCCCAGCAUUGCGUUCACUCCUGGUUCACAACAUCUUGAUCAACAUUGAUGUACGAGAGCAAGGGGAUGAGAACACUGACUUCAGAGACUCCAUGAGACGAAAAGGUCUGCCAUUUAUGCUGAUGAAGAAAGUUUAUACAGACAGAUUCAUCAUGCAUGAGGAAUCUCCUUAUGAAUUGGAGGAAGAUGAGGAGACAAGGGAGAUACAGAGAAGUCUCAGCAAGGAGCGGGGAGACUUCAACCCCAACUCUGACCCUAGAGAGGCAUUGCAUAGAACCUGGUGCCGAUGGUGGAAGUUCCAACCUCUCUGGAAAAUCCGUAACUACUUUGGGGAGAAGAUUGCCUUCUACUUUGCCUGGGCUGGUGAAAUGGCCAGCCUUCUCUGGCUACCUGUGCUGCUUGGCAUUGCUAUCUGGGCCGAUGGAUUAUAUCUCAGCAUCAAGGACAACAUGGAAUACAAUGAGGGCUUAGCUGAGAUGGCCAGACAGCGAGAUGAAUUGAUUGAUGCUGUCAGAGAGAAUAUCACCUUGUACAACAGGACAGAAGACAGGUUACUCUACCAGAACUUAACUGCACGUGCUCAGGAGGAAGACUCCUUCUUUGGCAGCAUUGCUGAUAAGUCUCUUGAGAUUCUAGAUGUCUUUCAGAAAUCAUUUGAUUCAGCAGUUACGCCGUACUUUGCUCUCGUCAUUUGUCUUUGGGGAACUCUUUUCCAAGAAUGCUGGAAGAGGAAACAUGCUCGUUUGGCUUAUGAGUGGGAUGUGUCCAGUUACCAUUUUACUGAGCCUGAUCGCCCAGAAUUUUAUGGAACCAAAGAACGGGAGGAUCCUGUGUCCAGCCUGCCAGAUUGGUACUACCCAUUCUACAAACAAUUUCUCAAGUUCAUGGCAUCUUUUGGCAUUCUCAUCUUCAUGGCGUUGCUUGUCAUAGCUAGUGCACUGGGUGUUAUCAUCUAUCGCGUCAUCAUUGGAGUCUUAUUGGCAGAUUCCUCCACCCUGCCAAGGAUCUUGUUAUCUACAGUUGCAGCCACUCUUCUCAACUCCAUCUCUAUUAUGAUCUUAGGAAGAUUGUAUGACUACAUCGCAUACAAGUUGACAGAUUGGGAGAAUCAUCGGACCCAGAGCCAGUAUGACGAUGCCUUGAUCAUGAAGCUUUUUGCUUUCCAGUUUGUCAACAGCUAUGCCUCACUCUUCUACAUCGCAUUCUUCAGAGGGCUGACUGCUGAGGACGGCAUACUUUACCUGGGUAAACAAUAUGAAGAUAGCUGUGGGGAUGACAACAUCUGCAUGCCUCUGCUAUCUCUUCAGGUCUUUGUGCUUAUGAUCGUCAAGCCCUUUCCUAAAUUCCUGAAAGACAUUAUCAUACCUUGGCUCAAGAAAGUCUUGAAGAAAUGCUGCUGUUGCAGAGGGAAGAAUAAAGUGGCAGAUGUGGAGGCCAGUAAAAUGGAGAAAGCUGAUUUCAUGAGGAAGGAAGGAGCCAAGCCACCUCUGGGAAACUUCACACUGGGAGAGUUCACUGAGAAGACCAUCCAGUAUGGCUUCCUCAUGCUGUUUUCCUGUGCCUUACCCUUGGCUCCAUUCAUAGCUAUCCUAGUGCUCUUAGUGGAUAUCAGAGUGGAUGCAACACGUAUGUUGUGGAUGAACAGACGUCCUAUUGCCUUCAUAUCUGGUGGUAUAGCAUAUUGUGUUGUCAGUCAAGUUCUUCAUUGCUUACAUCAUCCCAGACACUCCUUCUGACAUCAGCCUAGCAAAGAGAAGACAACGCUACCAAAUUGCCCAGAUCCUGGACAAGGCAGAGAACCAAGGCCCUAUUAAAAUCUCAUGUUUCAACAGAUUGA
rnacentral:misc_RNA from 1 species